GAUGCAUGGAGAUGGAACUGAAGGACUCAGAUUUAUAAGAGAAGUAAUAUUAAUGCCUGAUGAUAUAAUGAACCAUACACCUUCAGAAAAUGUUAGAGCCUGGCUUUCCUCGUGUGGACACAUAAAAUCAACUGUUCAAUUCAACAAGCAAUGGGAAGAAGACUCUGUCAUUAAUGCUAUUAAAAAAGCCUUUACACCUCUCAUUGAUGAUAUUAAAGUGGAAUUUUUGGUCAAAUUCAGUAGAACGCUUGUUCCAGCUUCCAGAACUGUACACAGCCACAGCAAAUUGAAUGCUACAAAACUUGAAAAAUUAUAUAAACAUGGAACAGUGUACUUGCGACCAGAUAGACCUUUACUGGACAACAUCUAUUUGACUAUAAAUGAUGAAGAUGAUGAAUAAUGAAACCUCAAAUAUAUCAUUGAGGAACUAAUGACUAAUGAACUAAGCAGUUAAUACUGCUGCCACAAGUAUCCCGGAUGCUGGACUGAAAUCUCACUCAAGCUGUCUGUGUGGACUUCGAACAUUUUCUUCAUGUCUUUGUGUGUUUUGCUUCCCACUUUUCAAAGACUUACAUCUUUAAUUUGUGUGGCAUUUCUAAAUUUCACACAUGUGGGUAUGUGUGAUUGCCCCCCUGUGAAUUAGAUGAAAUGGGCUUGAAAAUAAUAAUAA